UCCUGUCUCGCGAAAAGUGGCCGACUGUGGCCGCCUGCCCCCAUCUACUCGUGAUGGAUCGGGCUAGCGAGGCGGGUUAUU
rnacentral:sRNA from 12 species